rnacentral:rRNA from 1 species
AACGAACGCUGGCGGCAGGCUUAACACAUGCAAGUCGAGCGCCUCGCAAGAGGAGCGGCAGACGGGUGAGUAACGCGUGGGAACGUACCCUUAUCUUCGGAAUAGCUCUGGGAAACUGGAAGUAAUACCGAAUGUGCCCUUAGGGGGAAAGAUUUAUCGGAUAAGGAUCGGCCCGCGUUGGAUUAGCUAGUUGGUGGGGUAAAGGCCUACCAAGGCGACGAUCCAUAGCUGGUCUGAUAGGAUGAUCAGCCACAUUGGGACUGAGACACGGCCCAAACUCCUACGGGAGGCAGCAGUGGGGAAUAUUGGACAAUGGGCGCAAGCCUGAUCCAGCCAUGCCGCGUGAGUGAUGAAGGCCUUAGGGUUGUAAAGCUCUUUCACCGGAGAAGAUAAUGACGGUAUCCGGAGAAGAAGCCCCGGCUAACUUCGUG